rnacentral:tRNA from 1 species
UGGCUCACACGGUAAAGCGUCUGUCUGCAAUGCAGGAGACCCGGGUUCGAUCCCUGG